UCCUUCUUGCUUGAAGUUGACUUAUUGAUUAUGCUCUUAGCUUAAUUUCCUUUGACACUUCGUUAGUCAAUAUGAAAUGCAAAAAAUUCUUAUGACUAGGAUGUAUAAUGAUGUAGAUAUUAAAAUAACCAAAGUUUUGUAGGCCUUUUCAUCAACCAGUCCCAUGAUAUACUGUCUUCAUAUGAUGGUUACACCCACCUGGAAAGCAUAUGUCAUUAAAUCAUAUGAUGUUCUACAAUAGCAUGGUAGCUAAAUUAAUAGGGUGAAAGAGUGAUUACUUGCUGUAUUUUACAUUCAAAGAUGCUUUUGAAAUUUUUAAAGUGAUGUUAUACAUAGGAUCAAAUAUAAGGAAAGGAACUGAAUUAUACAUUGAAAUUUUAAACAUUUAUCAAAAGAAGUCUCUUAAAAUUUAGGAAAAAGGAUUCAAUGUAAUAUUGCUGGUGGAUCAAAUAAACUAAAUUUUUAUCUGAAAAUUACACUUUGAUAAGUAAGCUUGGAUAACGUUUGAGGGCAUAUACCAAACAAACGAGGGCAAGUGACCCAAAAAUUUGAUUCAUGUGAAUUUCUUUCUAACAAAUGAUUGGUAUAAUUUAUGCACAACAAAUUUGUAUUGUGCCUUGGUAUCUUAUUGUAUUUUUAUCUCUCUCUUCUUUCUAUUCUCUCUCUCUGUGAACGAGGCAGAAGUAGAAGGAGUUCACUGGUGUUGGAAGCAGUAAUCGGCAGAGAAGAUAAAGAAUGGCGGUGGUCGGUAUUGCAGUUGGGAGAGCGUCUAGCAAAAAAACAGAAGAUGGUGGCAGAGGCUCCGAAUAUGCUUCCAUCGAGCAGCAGAGAUGAAGAACAAUAUGCGAAAGGUGAUAAUGGUUGUUGAUGCAGCGGCGAAGAGAAAGAACAGCGGCAGAGGUGAGUUGUGAGUUGUGUUGCUGCUGUCAGUGAAGAAGUAGCUGGCGGCAAGUUGACGAUACCGGUGAAAAGAACGCAGAGAUCUGAGAUCCUGCCAUUGGCGGUGUUGCAGAGCCAAUCGAUGUGGACGGUGGGAGAAGUCAGGAACAGAUCUUAGAUCGACGUUAGUCUCCUGCUAACAGGAAAUGAUGGUUCAGGUCGGGCUUACCCUUCCGAAGCAGUGCCAGUCAUUUUGAGCAUACUUUCCAAUAUUGUUAAGUGAUUGUGGUAUGUUGGUUACAAAAUAAUGGCGCCCAAACAUGCACAAAGUGGAUUACCUGCUAGAAGAGAAUGCAAGAUUCAAGAGGCUGCAACAACAGACAUGCAUCUACGUUUAUAUAUCUAGCUUUCUGAACACGUGUGAAUCAACAAAAGAAGAAGAGUAUCCUGUACCAAACAUUGAUGAUGGCACCGUUUUGAAUAUGUAUCUAAAUUCUUAAUCAGGGUGCCAUUUAUUACUGCUACAAUGUAAUUGAUGAUUAAAAAAAACAAAAAAAUAAGAUCAUAUUUUAGUUAAUCUGUAAGCUAAAGAAAUGUAGUAUAGGAAUGUAAGAAAAAUUUUGUGCAGGAUAAUGCUUUUUGUUUGUAUCUUAAAACUAGGAAGAUAUAGGCAUCACUGAGGAAUGCAGUUCAUGAGUUGUGUUAGUUUUUUCUUAAUUCAUUUUAUUACUCAAUAUGUUUUUCUUGAAUUCUAUUGUUUUGCUUUUCGAAAAGAUAAAAUGGUAAUAGAACUUUAUGAUUUGCUAAUAGAACUUUAUGAUAUUGUCUUUAUGAUGUUAACUAUUAUACAAAUGACAGCAUUCUCAAUUAAUUUUUCAGCAUUUCUGUUUUCAAGCUUUUGUAAUAGAAAAAUGAAAACAAAUUGUCAUCUUUUAAGAUUGUAAGGUUUCUAAGCUGUCAUAAGGAUGAUUCUUGCUUCUACUAAUUGUUGAGUGAAAAACUUUCUGUAGAAGGGAUCCUGCUCCAUCUAUUUUCUCUUAAUGCUCUCUCUUAAUGUGAAAAAAUUUUCAGUAUAAGAAUGUUCUCUGUUGCAUGAUUAAUAUAUGUUAUGUGAUUGUUCUUUAAAGUUAUUAUUUAAUUUCCUCCGUCUUUAGCUGUGUCCAGCAAUUAAGAAUUGCAUAUCAACAUCUGAGAAUAUCACUGUCAAUUUUUUUGGUGAAUAUAUAUUUACAAAUAUAAGACUAUAAUCAGUUUUGCUUACCUGUGAUGUGUUUUGCUAAAACUAUAACCAAGAUUUUCAUUAUUAUCUCAAAUUGCUUGGGUUGUUGACAUUCAUGUUGCAAUUGGGGAUUUAGAUAUAUUUUGCUUUUAGCAAUGAUAGUGAUUGUAAGUAGAAGAUAGUUACUUGAAGUUUGUCUUAAGGCUUCUCUUAUUGAUAGUGUCUUAAGGUGGGAUGUCAAGGUUUUGGGGCUUAGUUCAAAGGUGGGAGGGAAAUUGAGCAGCUCACCAAUGAGAUUCCAUAAUACGAAUUCCAUGUCACUAGUGUUUAGUGUUCUUGAGGAUCUUAUUGAGCUUUUAGGGAGCAAAAGUAGCCUCAUUGAAGAGGCAGGGAGCUCGCAAUGUCUCCAAUCAAAUUGCUGUUUGGUUAAAAGCAUCGGAACAAAUAGGCCUAUGCCUCAGGUUUUAAUAAACUGGAAAUUAAAAAUUGUAAAGGAUAUUCAUACAAAUGGCCGAUGUUUGAUUAAACUGUAUCAUCAUUGUGAUUGUUCAUCAGCCACUUAUUCAAUGUAGCUUUAUGCUGAUGAUUAGGUUAUGAAUGCAAUUCAAAUAUCAUGUAAAUAUACAAUUCCUUUUAAUAUCAUUAGCCUCAAGGAAAAAAAUUAUUAAUUGCUUUCUUUUACUGCAAUCCAAAGCCAAAGAACCAACAAUGUAAUUAGUUUUAUUGAUAAUCUAAGGAGAAUAUAUAAUAUCUCAAGUAGCUAGAAAAAAAUUAUUAAUUGCUUUCUUUAUGUCAAUGUUUUUAAUUAGUAUUAUUUCAUAAAAUAUCUCAAUAACAUUACUUUAUAUACUUAAUAUACAUAUAUACAUUUUGUGGAGGC